rnacentral:lncRNA from 1 species
CACACACACACUCAGGUGCCCAGCGAGGAACCCACCAGGUGGAAACCCUCAGGGCUCAGCCUGCCCUGUGCGCGGCCCUGCGCCUGUGCCGCCACGGGGUCAUUAGGGGGAGGCAGGCACAGGUGGUCUCUUGCACACCUGCCCCAGCCUGUGGUGGGGACGCUGUGGGUACUUCAGGGCGCUGGGGCUCACCUGACACAGCGGCUCUCCAAGGGGUUCCGUCCUCACCAGAAGCAGGAUGAAGCUCAGAGCACAGCAAGGAAGUGUAUUCCAUGUUUGUUUGUGGAUACGCACCAGAAGAAUAUCUUUGAGGAAAUUGCUAAUGGCCAUUACCUAUGGGGACUAGGACAGGAAGCCCCCAGUACAUAGUUGUAUAUUCUAGCUUUAGGUCCUUCUGGUUGUGCUAUUUAGGACGCCACCUCAGCGUGGCUUGAUGAGCGGUGCCAUGUCUGUGCCCAGGAUCCGAACCUGCAAAACCCUGGGCCACCAAAGGGGAGCGUGUAGACCCAACCAUGCAAACUUGGCCAUGGGGCUGGCCCCUAUGCUGUGCUUUUUGGGACUGCCCACUCUGGAGGACGCUUAGCCAGCCCACGGAGGGGCCAAGCAGGAAGGGACGGAGGCCUCUUGCCAGGUGUGUGAGUCGUGAGCCACCUCACAUGCAGAUCCUCCAGCCCCAGUCAAGCCUUCAGGUGACUGCAGCCAAAGCCUGAUGGUGACCCCACAGGAGACCCCAAGAUGGAACUGCCCAGCAAGCUGCUCCCACAUUCCUGACCCACAGAGACUGAGAUUACAAAUGUUUGUUUUAGGCCACUAAAUGUCGGUGUGAUUUGUUAUGUAACAAAUGAUAACCAAUACACUUUCCCACUGCUUUGGGUCAACGUUCCAUGUAUUCUUUGUU